GGCUCUCUGUGGCGCAAUGGAUAGCGCAUUGGACUUCUAAUUCAAAGGUUGUGGGUUCGAGUCCCACCAGAGUCG